GGAAGGGUGGGGAUGACGUCAAGUCAUCAUCGGCCCUUACGGCCGUGGGCUACACACGUGCUACAAUGGUCGGUACAAAGGGUUGCCAAGCCGCGAGGUGGAGCUAAUCCCAUAAAACCGAUCGUAGUCCGGAUCGCAGUCUGCAACUCGACUGCGUGAAGUCGGAAUCGCUAGUAAUCGUGAAUCAGAAUGUCACGGUGAAUACGUUCCCGGGCCUU
rnacentral:rRNA from 1 species